UCUGUUUAGGAGCUUGAGGACACUCUGA
rnacentral:piRNA from 1 species